rnacentral:rRNA from 1 species
UACAGAGGGGGCAAGCGUUGUUCGGAAUUACUGGGCGUAAAGGGCGCGUAGGCGACCUGCUAAGUCGAACGUGAAAUCCCUGGGCUCAACCCAGGAACUGCGUCCGAUACUGGUUGGCUUGAAUCCGGGAGAGGGAUGUGGAAUUCCAGGUGUAGCGGUGAAAUGCGUAGAUAUCUGGAGGAACACCGGUGGCGAAGGCGACAUCCUGGACCGGUAUUGACACUGAGGCACGAAGGCCAGGGGAGCAAACGGG